CUGAUUUAUACGUCGAAACUAAGUCAAACUGAUCUGGAGCGCCUCACGGAAGGGGAUGGAAGUGAAGAAAUCAAAGAUCUUCAGCGUAUCAAUGGUCAGGUCAGAGAUCAUAAAGUGUUUGCCAUUACAGGAGAGAAACAGAUUCAGGUCACCCCUCACGAUCGGGCCAGUGUGUGCAAACAAGGCCAGGUGUCUUUCUACCUUGGCUUCAAUAUCAGAGGACCUGUUGCCUACAACAUCAGAUAUAAGUACUUUUUUGAAGAUUAUUAUGUGAAGAAUGCCAGUGAGAGAGUAAAACAAAACAAAACAAAAAACCCUAAAUGAUCUUCUUCUUCUUUGCUUUUUAUUAAUUUAAUUCUCUAUAAUGUGUUAUCCCUUAGAAUGAAUUAUGUAUGGCAAAUUAGAACCAUCAGGUAAAAUUAUUUUUGAUAUUGAUGUAACUUAAGCUUUAUUUCCCAGCAUGCUUUGCAUAGGAUUUUAAGGGGGAGAGAAACCUGUUCUGCAUCCGAUGCAUCCUCGAUAUCAAACACAUCCUGGUACUUUCAUGUGUCUUGUACUUGCAUUCUUCAGUACUGCAAUUGAAAUUCCACAGUGACUGAUGAAGAUUCGGCAGUUCACUCCAACUUGCCCAGGAAAUGCACACAAGUUGAGAGAAAUCAAGAAUAAUUAAACCUCAUGCUAUCAGUAUAACUGCACCACUACAUCUCUUUUGCUUGGCAACCAUUCUGCUGAACACAGCUGAAGAACUAGACAAUGCUUGGUGGAAGGAUUAUAAUUUGUUAUCAAUAAAUGAAUACAUUUUUGUUGCUUUGUGUUUACCUUACGAAACCUUGGCAGCUAAACCCAAUGAAGCCGUGGUUUACAGUGGUGUUUGAACAGAUAAGUAGGUUUUCCAUUAAAUUAGAUCAUAUUUGUCCUAAAUCAUUGUUCAUGUAUAUUCUGUCUUUGUGGGGCAGUUGUGGCUUAGAGUCAGAGUUGGGUCAUGGGUUUCUUUGAUUCUCACAUCACUUUCACCUUCAUGUUAGACUGGACAAUGUAGACAUUUGUCAUUAAGACAAACUUACAGGCCUGCACACUGUCCAGCCUAGGAUUGUGGCUUGUAAAUAGGCCUAUACUUCAUAUAGAUACAUA